UACGGGGGGGGCAAGCGUUGUUCGGAAUUACUGGGCGUAAAGGGUUCGUAGGUGGCUUGCUAAGUCAGACGUGAAAUCCCUCAGCUUAACUGGGGAACUGCGUCUGAGACUGGUGAGCUUGAGUGCAGGAGAGGAACGCGGAAUUCCAGGUGUAGCGGUGAAAUGCGUAGAUAUCUGGAGGAACACCGGUGGCGAAGGCGGAUCUCUGGGCCAUUACUGACGCUGAGGAGCGAAAGCGUGGGGAGCGAACAGG
rnacentral:rRNA from 1 species